UACGAGAGGCCCAAACGUUAUUCGGAAUUACUGGGCUUAAAGAGUUCGUAGGCGGCAUUGCAAGUAGGGUGUGAAAGCCCUCGGCUCAACCGAGGAAUUGCGCUCUAAACUGCAGUGCUCGAGGAAGCUAGAGGUGAGCAGAACAGAUGGUGGAGCGGUGAAAUGCGUUGAUAUCGGGAGGAACACCUAUGGCGAAGGCAGCUCGCUGGGACGUUACUGACGCUGAGACGCGAAAGCGUGGGGAGCAAACAGG
rnacentral:rRNA from 1 species